UCAUCCUAAUUUCGGGGAUAAUUUCUUUAGUUUUCAUAUUGAGAAAUGUUUUUCUAAAGUGUGAGUCCCGCCACCCACAAUGAUGAGCUGGGGUGCUUCUUCCUGAGUGCGAAGCAGGUACAGAGAAGUGGUUUAAUCACAAGCUCUGUGCUUUUGGUGACCGUUCAGUGUUCCUUUUAUGGGAGCAUCAAGGGAAGGAGCAUGUUCUGAGUGGU